CUCGGCCGCCUCGUCUCCUCCGCCUCCACCACCUCCUCCUCCCGCAUCUCCUCAUCCCAUCUUGCUGCCGCCGGCUCCCCUCCUCUCCCCCUAAUUUCCCCCUUCAGCUCGUCCGUCUCAUCUCCCUUGCUGCUGCGCUGCCUCUUCCUCUGCCUCCGUGCUCAACAGGAGGAGCCUGGGUCGCAGUUGCACCACACGACAGUGGGCAAGGGCAAGCUCUAGCGCGAGCAUGCGGAGAGCUAUCCACUGGAUCCGGCCGGCCCAGAUCCACACGGCUCCGUCAACAACACGCCCGGGGACCCUGCCGACGUGGGUGUGCCGGCAUCUUCUCCAUGAGGGGGGCGAAUUAGGACGGAUCCACGCUGUCGACGCCUCUUCUUUGCUCCCAUGGACGAGCCCUCGCCCAGCGACCACCUCCACUCAGCUGUUGGGGAGGCUAAAAUGGGAAGGGUGGCAGGAGAAAUCCCUCCUCCUUGUGUUGCUGCAUCACUGCAUCCCCCGAUAUUCCAGGAGUAGCUCGCCUGCCUGCUUUGAGAAGAAGAGAUGGAAGGUGGAGGUGGGAACAUGACGCUAGGAGGAUAAGGCGUGGGCGUCACAAGAAGUGGGUUGGAGCAGGAAGUAGAGCAUGCAAUGCCCCUCUCUACAUUGGCAUCUACACAGCCAAAUCAAGGACUUAAAUUCCUGGAGUAGCUCGCCUGCCUGCUUUGAGAAGAACAGAUGGAAGGUGGAGGUGGGAACAUGACGCUAGGAGGAUAAAGCGUGGGCGUCACAAGAAGUGGGUUGGAGCAGGAAGUAGAGCAGGCAAUGCCCCUCUCUACAUUGGCAUCUACACAGCCAAAUCAAGGACUUAAAUUCCUGGAACGGCUCCUCCUAUCCCCUGCUCCUCUCGCAUUGGCGCAAGUCCGCCUCCUCCUCCGCCUCCUUCUCCACGCGUGCAGCAGCGACCCGGGAGGAGCUCGAGCCGCAGCGGUGGUCCAUGGCGCCUUCGUUGUCAUCCCCGGCUAGAGAAGCAUGGACCGCAGAGACGGACGGAUCUGUCCGGCCCUCGCGCCGUCAUUCGUCAACUCUCAAGGAUAAUGAGUUUCUACGAGUUGGAGACCCCCCAACAGCAAAUUCAGUCCGACGUCUUUGAUGAAAAUAGUGGUUUGAGCCAUAGUUCCAAGAAUGGAGCUGGACAGUCUUUUUGAGGAAAAAAAUUGAUGUCGCAAAGGCCAGGAACAAAAUCAAUACAUUAGUAUAUGACUUCAGAGAGAUGCUGAUACUAUGAGGUGAAAUGCUCAUUUACUUAAGAGAAACGUUCACAAGGAUGACUGACCGUGUGCGACACUGACCUCGAUGGCGUGCCACAUCAUUUUUGCCCGACCUCAAUGUUCACCUCGUCACCCACAGCCAGAUGGUCGAAGACAUCCCCAUG